AACCCAUGGUUAGGACAAUUUAGCAACAUAAACUUGUAACUCUCCCAUGCUUCACAAAGUGUUUCAGUCACACCUUGAGAAAAUACGGAAAUAAUGGUCUUGGCUU